AUGGUCACGUUCCUCCGUUCCUUCCUUCGUUCCUUCAUUUGUUCGUUUGUACCUUCGUUCGUUUGUGCCUUCGUUCGUUUGUGCCUUCAUUCGUUGGUUCGUACCUUCGUUCGUUUGUGCCUUCGUUGGUUCGUACCUUCGUUCGUUUGUGCCUUCGUUCGUUCGUACCUUCGUUGGUUCGUACCUUCGUUGGUUCGCACCUCUGUUUGUUCGUACCUUCGUUGGGUUCGUACCUUCGUUGGUUCGUACCUCUGUUUGUUCGUACCUUCGUUGGGUCGUACCUUCGUUGGUUCUUACCUCUGUUUGUUCGUACCUUUGUUGGGUCGUACCUUCGUUCCUUCAUUUGUUCGUUCCUUCAUUUGUUCGUUUGUACCUUCGUUGGUUCGUACCUUUCGUUCGUUCGUACCUUCGUUGGUUCGUACCUUCGUUGGUUCGUACCUUCGUUGGUUCGUACCUCUGUUCGUUCGUACCUUCGUUGGUUCUUACCUUUGUUGGUUCUUACCUCUGUUGGUUCGUACCUUCGUUGGUUCGUACCUUCGUUGGUUCGUACCUCUGUUGGUUCGUACCUUCGUUGGUUCUUACCUCUGUUGGUUCGUAUCUUCGUUGGUUCUUACCUUCGUUGGUUCUUACCUCUGUUGGUUCGUACCUUCGUUGGUUCGUACCUCUGUUUGUUCGUACCUUCGUUGGUUCGUACCUCUGUUCGUUCGUACCUUCGUUGGUUCUUACCUCUGUUUGUUCGUACCUUCGUUGGUUCGUACCUUCGUUGGUUCGUACCUCUGUUUGUUCGUACCUUCGUUGGUUCGUACCUCUGUUCGUUCGUACCUUCGUUGGUUCUUACCUCUGUUUGUUCGUACCUUCGUUGGUUCAUACCUUCGUUGGUUCUUACCUCUGUUUGUUCGUACCUUCGUUGGUUCGUACCUCUGUUUGUUCGUACCUUCGUUGGUUCGUACCUCUGUUUGUUCGUACCUUCGUUGGUUCGUACCUUCGUUGGUUCUUACCUCUGUUUGUUCGUACCUUCGUUGGUUCGUACCUUCGUUGGUUCGUACCUCUGUUUGUUCGUACCUUCGUUGGUUCUUACCUCUGUUUGUUCGUACCUUCGUUGGUUCGUACCUCUGUUUGUUCGUACCUUCGUUGGUUCGUACCUCUGUUUGUUCGUACCUUCGUUGGUUCGUACCUCUGUUUGUUCGUACCUUCGUUGGUUCGUACCUUGCUUUCGUAUCUCCGUUCGUACCUUUGUUUGUUCGUACCUUCGUUUGUUCGUACCUUCUUUCGUGCUACGUCCGUACCUUCGUUCCUACUGUCGUCCGUGUCUUUGUUUGUUCGUUUGUUCAUACCUUCAAUCGUACCUUCGUUGCUGCUGCGUUCGUACCUUCAUUCCUACCGUUGUUCCUACCUUUGUUUGUUUGGUCGUUUCUACCUUUGUUAGUUCGUACCUUUGUUCAUUCAGUUGUCUUCCCAAAUCGACUCCCCUGUCGCUGGGGUUUCCCUCUUCCCCAGAACAUCAUUGGUACGGAAACAGAGAGAUCUAGGAAUGAAAGAAUAUAA
rnacentral:lncRNA from 1 species